UAGGGAAUCUUCCGCAAUGGACGAAAGUCUGACGGAGCAACGCCGCGUGAGCGAAGAAGGCCUUCGGGUCGUAAAGCUCUGUUGUAAGGGAAGAACAAGUGCCAUUUAACUGAUGGCACCUUGACGGUACCUUGCGAGAAAGCCACGGCUAACUACGUGCCAGCAGCCGCGGUAAUACGUAGGUGGCAAGCGUUGUCCGGAUUUAUUGGGCGUAAAGCGCGCGCAGGCGGUCCUUUAAGUCUGAUGUGAAAGCCCACGGCUCAACCGUGGAGGGUCAUUGGAGACUGGGGGACUUGAGUGCAGAAGAGGAAAGCGGAAUUCCACGUGUAGCGGUGAAAUGCGUAGAGAUGUGGAGGAACACCAGUGGCGAAGGCGGCUUUCUGGUCUGUAACUGACGCUGAGGCGCGAAAGCGUGGGGAGCAAACAGG
rnacentral:rRNA from 1 species